AACAGGAUUAGAUACCCUGGUAGUCCAUGCCGUAAACGAUGUCUACUAGCCGUUGGGGCCUUUGAGGCUUUAGUGGCGCAGCUAACGCGAUAAGUAGACCGCCUGGGGAGUACGGUCGCAAGACUAAAACUCAAAUGAAUUGACGGGGGCCCGCACAAGCGGUGGAGCAUGUGGUUUAAUUCGAUGCAACGCGAAGAACCUUACCUGGCCUUGACAUACUAAGAACUUUCCAGAGAUGGAUUGGUGCCUUCGGGAACUUAGAUACAGGUGCUGCAUGGCUGUCGUCAGCUCGUGUCGUGAGAUGUUGGGUUAAGUCCCGCAACGAGCGCAACCCUUUUCCUUAUUUGCCAGCGGGUUAAGCCGGGAACUUUAAGGAUACUGCCAGUGACAAACUGGAGGAAGGCGGGGACGACGUCGAGUCAUCAUGGCCCUUACGGCCAGGGCUACACACGUGCUACAAUGGUCGGUACAAAGGGUUGCUACCUCGCGAGAGGAUGCUAAUCUCAAAAAGCCGAUCGUAGCCCGGAUCGCAGUCUGCAACUCGACUGCGUGAAGUCGGAAUCGCUAGUAAUCGCGGAUCAGAAUGCCGCGGUGAAUACGUUCCCGGGCCUUGUACACACCGCCCGUCACACCAUGGGAGUUUGUUGCACCAGAAGUAGGUAGUCUAACCGUAAGGAGGACGCUUACCACGGUGUGGCCGAUGACUGGGGUGAAGUCGUAACAAGGUAACC
rnacentral:rRNA from 1 species